rnacentral:rRNA from 1 species
AGAGUUUGAUCAUGGCUCAGGACGAACGCUGGCGGCGUGCUUAACACAUGCAAGUCGAACGGAUCAUCGGUUUCGGCCGGUGGUGAGUGGCGAACGGGUGAGUAACACGUGGGCAACCUGCCCCCUACUCUGGGAUAACUCCGGGAAACCGGGGCUAAUACCGGAUGCGACCCGGGUCCGCAUGGGCUCCGGGUGGAAAGGUUUUUUCCGGUGGGGGAUGGGCCCGCGGCCUAUCAGCUUGUUGGCGGGGUGACGGCCCACCAAGGCGUCGACGGGUAGCCGGCCUGAGAGGGCGAUCGGCCACACUGGGACUGAGACACGGCCCAGACUCCUGCGGGAGGCAGCAGUGGGGAAUAUUGCGCAAUGGGCGGAAGCCUGACGCAGCGACGCCGCGUGGGGGAUGACGGCCUUCGGGUUGUAAACCUCUUUCAGCGCCGACCAAGGCUUCGGUUGAGUGUAGGCGCAGAAGAAGCACCGGCUAACUACGUGCCAGCAGCCGCGGUAAUACGUAGGGUGCGAGCGUUGUCCGGAUUUAUUGGGCGUAAAGGGCUCGUAGGCGGCCUGUCGCGUCGGUUGUGAAAGCCCGGGGCUCAACCCCGGGUGUGCGGCCGGUACGGGCAGGCUGGAGUGUGGCAGGGGAGACUGGAAUUCCUGGUGUAGCGGUGGAAUGCGCAGAUAUCAGGAGGAACACCGGUGGCGAAGGCGGGUCUCUGGGCCAUUACUGACGCUGAGGAGCGAGAGCGUGGGGAGCGAACAGGAUUAGAUACCCCCGUAGUCC